rnacentral:rRNA from 1 species
AACGCGAAGAACCUUACCCAGGCUUGACAUGCAGUGGAAGUAUCUAGAGAUAGGUACGCCCUUCGGGGCCGCUGCACAGGUGCUGCAUGGCUGUCGUCAGCUCGUGCCGUGAGGUGUUGGGUUAAGUCCCGCAACGAGCGCAACCCUUAUCGUUAGUUGCCAACAGGUGAAGCUGGGAACUCUAGCGAGACUGCCUGGGUUAACCAGGAGGAAGGUGAGGAUGACGUCAAGUCCGCAUGGCCCUUAUGUCUGGGGCUACACACGUGCUACAAUGGCCGGUACAGAAGGCAGCGAAACCGCGAGGUGAAGCAAAUCCCAAAAGCCGGCCCCAGUUCAGAUUGUAGUCUGCAACUCGACUACAUGAAGUUGGAAUUGCUAGUAAUGGCAGGUCAGCAACACUGCCGUGAAUACGUUCCCGGGCCUUGUACACACCGACGCAC